rnacentral:rRNA from 1 species
UACGUAGGGGGGCUAGCGUUGUCCGGAAUCAUUGGGCGUAAAGCGCGUGUAGGCGGUUCGGUAAGUCCGCUGUGAAAGUCGAGGGCUCAACCCUCGAAAGCCGGUGGAUACUGUCGGGCUAGAGUGCGGAAGAGGCGAGUGGAAUUCCUGGUGUAGCGGUGAAAUGCGCAGAUAUCAGGAGGAACACCGGUGGCGAAGGCGGGAUCUCUGGGACCGUAUUG